GGGCGGUGGGGUGGUGAAUGGACAGACCGUGAAAUAAAACGUACAGACUAGUUCCUGGAUGAGAAGUAACAAUUUAUGCUCUGAGUAGGUUAUUUGUAUGCAGUCCUGCUCCAGCUACUAAACGCCUACUUUGUACUAGCCCAGUGCCAGGCAGCAGGAGCAGAAAAGGAACAGAAAUCUUGUUCCGUUUGAACGUUCAUUUCUAUGAGACACUAUUUGGUACUAUCUGAAAGAAUGAAAAAAGGGCAGUUUCCUUAGGAAUGUCUAGACCGCUGAAUGGAGCCAGGAUUAGAGAUCGUGGAGGAGAAAUGCUCGUGAGCCAGGGCUGGUACCGCUAGGCUUUGAGUCUCCCCGAAGUGCUCCUCUAGUCUGCAGAAUUGAGGGGAAGGCUUCCUCAGGAGACAGAAGGGAUGGUUGCUGGCCUCAUGUUUCUCUCUCUCUCUCUCUCUCUCUCUCUCUCUCUCUCUCUCUCUCUCUCUCUCUCCCUUUCUUUCUUUCUUUCUUUCUUUCUUUCUUUCUUUCUUUCUUUCUUUCUUUCUUUCUUUCUUUCUUUCCUUCUUUCUUUCCGAGACAGGGUUUCCCU
rnacentral:lncRNA from 1 species